GGCGGUCGGGGAAGGAGAGGGGAGUGAGAGGCGGGGGCAGAGAGGGCGAUACUCUAGGUUGGCUUGCUCUCCUCCGAAGCUGGGUUUUGUCAAACUGCAUUCGUUCAGCAAGCAUUUAUUGCGUGCAGAUCUGGGUAGGGACGCUUGGAAUCCCAGCGGAUGGAACAGUGGCCCAAAGUCCCUGCCACCAAGGGAGUUGAUGUUUUAUUGAGAAGCCAUACAAACAACCCCAUAAACAAGUUCAUAAAGCCUAAAGCGAUGUGUAGAAAACAAACUACUGGAAGGAAGAGUAACUGGGAGAAAGGUGGAGCGGGGAGGCCAGAGCCUGCUUAGUCAGAUCAGCAGGGCAGGCCUCUGGGAAGGCGAUUUCAACCUGAGAUGAGAGGCGCCUGCCGCGAGUGGGGAAGGCGGAUUUCAACCUGAGAUGAGAGGAGCCUGCCGCGGGUGAGGAAGUAGACCCGGCAGAGCUGAAAGUACCUGCAGAAGACCUUUGGAAAGAAGUCAGUUUGCUGAUGAGAAACCGAAACAAACUUUAUCAGGUCCAUUUCUCCCUCAGGGCUUCCUUGCCUGUUUUCAUUCAUAGCUAACUCUGGCCUUCAAGCCACACCCUGAUGUUGAAAGUCUCAUGGGCACAAGUCUCUCCAAUGUCAACAGCUAUACUUUGGUGGAGUACCUUGCUUGGAGAAGAGAGAGCUGGAGAGUCGUGUGACAUGAAGUCAGAAAACUAGAAAGGACCAGAUCAUCGUGGGACCUGUAAUUCGGGAAAGGGACUUGGAUUUUCCUAUUGUAAACAUAAGCAAAAGUCCUCUUCCACCCGUAUUAUAUUGUUUCCUAGGGGUUCUACGAUAAGAAUGGAAAUACAUUCAUGAGGGAAAAAGGAUCUACAGGAACAGAGCCAUGUGUCUGGGGAUGUCCCUCACCUGUCCACUCAUCUAUCCCAGGGUCCAUGCCAGCAGCCAUCUAGUCUACCACAGACGGGGUCGGCUCUGCACAUCACUUUAGAAAGACCAUCUAUUUAGGGAACUCCAAA
rnacentral:lncRNA from 1 species